ACCGGCGGCUCGAGUGGUGGCCACUAUUACUGGGCUUAAAGCGUUCGUAGCUGGCUUGUUAAGUCUCUGGGGAAAUCUUCCGGCUCAACCGGAAGGCGUCUCAGGGAUACUGGCAGGCUAGGGACCGGAAGAGGUGAGAGGUACUCCAGGGAUGGCAGCGAAACCCGGUGGGCCUGAGGGGGAGGAAUGUGGGGUGGGGGAGUCACCCGGACGGGUCAGACAGGUAGGACGGAGAGCUGCGGGAACACAACG
rnacentral:rRNA from 1 species